UGAAAGUUCUUGAUAUUUUUGGUGUCUUU
rnacentral:piRNA from 1 species